rnacentral:rRNA from 1 species
AUUGAACGCUGGCGGCAUGCUUUACACAUGCAAGUCGAACGGUAACAGGCCUUCGGGUGCUGACGAGUGGCGAACGGGUGAGUAAUGCAUCGGAACGUACCCAGAGGUGGGGGAUAACGCAGCGAAAGCUGUGCUAAUACCGCAUGUGAUCUGAGGAUGAAAGCGGGGGACCGAGCAGCAAUGUUUGGCCUCGCGCCUUUGGAGCGGCCGAUGUCGGAUUAGCUAGUUGGUGGGGUAAAGGCCUACCAAGGCGACGAUCCGUAGCUGGUCUGAGAGGACGACCGGCCACACUGGGACUGAGACACGGCCCAGACUCCUACGGGAGGCAGCAGUGGGGAAUUUUGGACAAUGGGCGCAAGCCUGAUCCAGCAAUGCCGCGUGCGGGAAGAAGGCCUUCGGGUUGUAAACCGCUUUUGGCAGGAACGAAACGGUGUCCGCUAAUACCGGGCGCUAAUGACGGUACCUGCAGAAUAAGCACCGGCUAACUACGUG